CUGGGCGAGGUACUAUGAGAAAGCAAACGGAAGUCAUAGGAUUGUUCCUGACAACUGCUGUGUCACAGAGAAGAAAGACUGCGGUAAUCCAUACAGAAAUACCAACCAUUCAAUCAAGAGUAAAAUUUACAAUAAGGGAUGCUUCAAUGAAUUGGAAGAUUUCCUUAAGUAUAACCUUUUAACAAUUGGAAUUAUUGCUGCUGUGCUUGUCAUCAUUGAGCUUGUGGCCAUUAUCCUUGCCUUUCUUCUUAUUACACAUUUCAAAGAAGCUGGAGAAUGUGUGUGAUGGCAUCAAGUAAACUCGAUGAUCACAUUUGAAGAAAGAAUAUCGCAUUUUUAGAUUUUAUUGUAUAAAAUAUAUCAAAGAUUCUAUAGAUAAAUUAAUAUAAUCAUGUGAACAAACAAUAUAAAAAUAAUAAGCUACGUAAGCUAUCCAUUUAUAAGCUACGUAAUUGGGUGAUAAUUAUGAGUUGUGUCAUUAGCUCAUAGUAGCUGUCAGAAUAAUAAAUGGAGUUAUUCUUAUAAUACAGCAAAA